rnacentral:rRNA from 1 species
AGAGUUUGAUUCUGGCUCAGGAUGAACGCUGGCGGUCUGCUUAACACAUGCAAGUCGAACGGAGUGCUUUCGGGCACUUAGUGGCGGACGGGUGAGUAACGCGUGAGAAUCUGCCUACAGGACGGGGACAACGACUGGAAACGGUCGCUAACACCCGAUGUGCCGGAAGGUGAAAUAUUUAUAGCCUGUAGAUGAGCUCGCGUCAGAUUAGCUAGUUGGUGGGGUAAUGGCCUACCAAGGCGACGAUCUGUAGCUGGUCUGAGAGGAUGAUCAGCCACACUGGAACUGAGACACGGUCCAGACUCCUACGGGAGGCAGCAGUGGGGAAUUUUCCGCAAUGGGCGCAAGCCUGACGGAGCAAGACCGCGUGGGGGAGGAAGGUUUGUGGAUUGUAAACCCCUUUUGAUUGGGAAGAUGAUGACGGUACCAAUCGAAUCAGCAUCGGCUAACUCCGUGCCAGCAGCCGCGGUAAUACGGAGGAUGCAAGCGUUAUCCGGAAUUAUUGGGCGUAAAGCGUCCGUAGGUGGCAUUACAAGUCAGUUGUUAAAGCGCGAGGCUUAACCUCGUAAAGGCGAUUGAAACUGUGAAGCUAGAGUUUGGUAGGGGUCAGGGGAAUUCCCAGUGUAGCGGUGAAAUGCGUAGAUAUUGGGAAGAACACCGGUGGCGAAAGCGCCUGACUGGGCCUGAACUGACACUGAGGGACGAAAGCUAGGGGAGCGAAAGGGAUUAGAUACCCCUGUAGUCCUAGCUGUAGACGAUGGGUACUAGGUGUUGACCGUAUCGACCCGGUCAGUGCCGUAGCUAACGCGUUAAGUAUCCCGCCUGGGGAGUACGCACGCAAGUGUGAAACUCAAAGGAAUUGACGG